rnacentral:rRNA from 1 species
UACGAAGGUGGCAAGCGUUGUUCGGAUUCACUGGGCGUACAGGGUGUGUAGGCGGUUUGGUAAGCCUUUUGUGAAAGCCCCCGGCUCAACUGGGGAGGGUCACGCGAUACUGAUCGACUCGAAGGCAGGAGAGGGUAGUGGAAUUCCCGGUGUAGUGGUGAAAUGCGUAGAUAUCGGGAGGAACACCAGUGGCGAAGGCGACUACCUGGCCUGUUCUUGACGCUGAGGCGCGAAAGCUAGGGGAGCAAACGGG